rnacentral:rRNA from 3 species
ACGGGUGAGUAACGCGUGAGAAUCUAGCUUCAGGUCGGGCACAACCACUGGAAACGGUGGCUAAUACCGGAUGUGCCGAAAGGUGAAAGAUUUAUUGCCUGAAGAUGAGCUCGCGUCUGAUUAGCUAGUUGGUGUGGUAAGAGCGCACCAAGGCGACGAUCAGUAGCUGGUCUGAGAGGAUGAUCAGCCACACUGGUACUGAGACACGGCCCAGACUCCUACGGGAGGCAGCAGUGGGGAAUUUUCCGCAAUGGGCGAAAGCCUGACGGAGCAAUACCGCGUGAGGGAGGAAGGCUCUUGGGUUGUAAACCUCUUUUCUCAGGGAAUAAAAAAAUGAAGGUACCUGAGGAAUAAGCAUCGGCUAACUCCGUGCCAGCAGCCGCGGUAAUACGGAGGAUGCAAGCGUUAUCCGGAAUGAUUGGGCGUAAAGCGUCCGCAGGUGGCACUGUAAGUCUGCUGUUAAAGAGCAAGGCUCAACCUUGUAAAGGCAGUGGAAACUACAGAGCUAGAGUACGUUCGGGGCAGAGGGAAUUCCUGGUGUAGCGGUGAAAUGCGUAGAGAUCAGGAAGAACACCGGUGGCGAAAGCGCUCUGCUAGGCCGUAACUGACACUGAGGGACGAAAGCUAGGGGAGCGAAUGGGAUUAGAUACCCCAGUAGUC